rnacentral:rRNA from 1 species
AGAGAGAGACAUGCGCGCAUAUCAAUAAGCGGAGGAAAAGAAACUAACAAGGAUUCCCCUAGUAACGGCGAGUGAAGCGGGAAGAGCUCAAAUUUGAAAUCUUAAAGGGUUUCCCUUUACGAAUUGUAGUUUAAAGAAGUGUUUUCUGUUGAGGUUUUGGUAAAAGUUCUUUGGAAUAGGACAUCAUAGAGGGUGAGAAUCCCGUAUUUGACCUUUACUUUCAACUUUGUGAUACACUUUCAAAGAGUCGGAUUGUUUGGGAAUGCAGUCCAAAAUGGGUGGUAAAUUUCAUCUAAAGCUAAAUAUUGGCGAGAGACCGAUAGCGAACAAGUACCGUGAGGGAAAGAUGAAAAGAACUUUGAAAAGAGAGUUAAACAGUACGUGAAAUUGUCAAAAGGGAAGCGUUUGACACCAGCUGUUGUUUUUCUGAAAAUCAAUUAAAGAACUGUUUAUGCUAAGCUGUUUAGACUUUAUCAGCUAAUCUGUUUAGUUUUGAGCUUUUCUUUAAUGCACUUUUCAGUUAACAAGUCAACAUCAAUUUCUUUUGCUGUAAAAAAGCUUGAGGAAGGUGGCUUGAGAUUCGUCUUAAGUGUUUAUAGCCUCUUGCCUAUGCAGUCGGAGAGAUUGAGGUCUGCAGCGUAGAUCCUUCGGGGCUAAAUGCAUUUGUGCUAAGUUAUAGCAUUUUAUAGACAACUUGUUGACUAUGAUUUGUCUUGUAGCUUACUCGCUUAUGUUAUUUUACCUACGCUUAGGAUGUUGACGCAUGAGAUAUACGC